rnacentral:rRNA from 1 species
GAUGAACGCUGGCGGCGUGCUUAACACAUGCAAGUCGAACGGACAGGUAAUGAAACCUAGUGAUUUAUCUGUUAGUGGCGGACGGGUGAGUAACGCGUGGGUAACCUGCCGUAUACAGGGGGAUAACACUUAGAAAUAGGUGCUAAAACCGCAUAAGCGCACAGGAUCGCAUGGUCCGGUGUGAAAAACUCCGGUGGUAUACGAUGGACCCGCGUCUGAUUAGCUUGUUGGCGGGGUAGAGGCCCACCAAGGCGACGAUCAGUAGCCGGCCUGAGAGGGUGAACGGCCACAUUGGGACUGAGACACGGACCAGACUCCUACGGGAGGCAGCAGUGAGGAAUAUUGGUCAAUGGGCGAGAGCCUGAACCAGCCAAGUCGCGUGAAGGAUGACGGCCCUACGGGUUGUAAACUUCUUUUGUCAGGGAGCAAUUGGGUCCACGCGUGGGCUUAGCGAGAGUACCUGAAGAAAAAGCAUCGGCUAACUCCGUGCCAGCAGCCGCGGUAAUACGGAGGAUGCGAGCGUUAUCCGGAUUUAUUGGGUUUAAAGGGUGCGUAGGCGGAAUAUCAAGUCAGCGGUAAAAAUUCGGGGCUCAACCCCGUUGUGCCGUUGAAACUGAUGUUCUUGAGUGGGCGAGAAGUAUGCGGAAUGCGUGGUGUAGCGGUGAAAUGCAUAGAUAUCACGCAGAACUCCGAUUGCGAAGGCAGCAUACCGGCGCCCAACUGACGCUGAAGCACGAAAGCGUGGGUAUCGAACAGGAUUAGAUACCCUGGUAGUCCACGCAGUAAACGAUGAAUGCUAAUUGUCCGGAGGGAUUGACCUCUGGGUGAUACAGCGAAAGCGUUAAGCAUUCCACCUGGGGAGUACGCCGGCAACGGUGAAACUCAAAGGAAUUGACGGGGGCCCGCACAAGCGGAGGAACAUGUGGUUUAAUUCGAUGAUACGCGAGGAACCUUACCCGGGCUCAAACGCAGGAGGAAUACAUUUGAAAGGGUGUAGCUCUACGGAGUCUUCUGCGAGGUGCUGCAUGGUUGUCGUCAGCUCGUGCCGUGAGGUGUCGGCUUAAGUGCCAUAACGAGCGCAACCCCUAUCGACAGUUGCCAACAGGUGAAGCUGGGAACUCUGUCGAGACUGCCGGCGCAAGCUGAGAGGAAGGCGGGGAUGACGUCAAAUCAGCACGGCCCUUACGUCCGGGGCGACACACGUGUUACAAUGGCGGCCACAGCGGGAAGCCAGGCGGCGACGCCGAGCGGAACCCGAAAAGCCGUCUCAGUUCGGAUUGGAGUCUGCAACCCGACUCCAUGAAGCUGGAUUCGCUAGUAAUCGCGCAUCAGCCACGGCGCGGUGAAUACGUUCCCGGGCCUUGUACACACCGCCCGUCAAGCCAUGGGAGCCGGGAGUGCCUGAAGUACGUGACCGCAAGGAGCGUCCUAGGGUAAGACCGGUGACUGGGGCU